rnacentral:rRNA from 1 species
AUGCCGCCGCCGCCGCCGCUGGCCCGGGCUGCUCGGCGCGGGCUACUCCUCCUCCUCGUCCUGCAUUGCUGCUGGGGCACCCUCCUAUCGGCGGCCAGCGCCGCCCACGUCCACGCGGCGGGCGACGGCGUCAUCAUCAGCCAGGCCGACUACCAGGGCCUGCAGGCCAUCAAGCACGACCUCGCCGACCCCUACGGCUUCCUCCGCUCCUGGAACGACACCGGCAUCGGCGCCUGCUCCGGCCACUGGACCGGCAUCAAGUGCGUCAACGGCAGCGUCGUCGCCAUCACGCUCCCCUGGCGCGGCCUCGGCGGCCGCCUCUCCGACCGCAUCGGCCAGCUCACGGGGCUCCGCCGCCUCAGCAUCCACGACAACGCCAUCGCCGGCGCCAUCCCCGCCGCCCUCGGCUUCCUCCCCGACCUCCGCGGCCUCUACCUGUUCAACAACCGCUUCUCCGGCGCCGUCCCGCCGGAGAUCGGCCGCUGCGUCGCGCUGCAGUCCCUGGACGCCAGCAACAACCGCCUCACCGGCGUCCUCCCGGCAUCGCUCGCCAACUCCACCAAGCUCAUCCGCCUCAACCUCAGCCGCAACUCCAUCUCCGGCGAGAUCCCGGCCGAGGUCGCGGCCUCACAGUCCCUCCUCUUCCUCGACCUGUCCUACAACAAGCUCUCCGGCCGCAUCCCGGAUGCCUUCGCGGGCGGCUCCAAGGCGCCGUCGUCGGCCUCCUCCGACGAGCGGAAAUUAGAAGCCAUCACCGGGACCUACCAGCUCGUCUUUCUCAGCCUCGCGCACAACACGCUCGACGGGCCAGUGCCGGAGUCGCUCGCGGGGCUCACCAAGCUGCAGGACCUCAACCUCUCCGGCAACAGCCUCAACGGCUCCAUUCCCGACAACCUCGGCUCGCUUCACGACCUCAAGGCGCUCGACCUCUCCGGAAACGCGCUCGCUGGAGAGAUCCCGGAGAGCCUGGCCAACCUCACCACCACCCUCCAGUCCUUCAACGUCUCCUACAACAACCUCUCCGGCGCCGUGCCGGCCUCGCUCCUACAGAAGUUUGGGCCCCCAUCCUUCGCAGGAAACAUCCUGCUCUGCGGCUACUCUGCUUCUUCGGCGCCCUGCCCGGUAUCGCCGUCCCCCGCGCCGGCAUCACCAGGACAAGAGCCCACCGGACCCCGCGGCGGCCGUACAAAGAAGGAGCUCAUACUGAUCAUAGGGGGGAUCGUGCUCGGCAUCCUCAUCUUGCUGUCCCUCUGCUGUCUUCUGCUCUGUUGUUUAAUAAGGAAGAAGAGGUCGAGCGGCAGCACUGGAGCACGGAGCGGGAAGCAGACGUCGAGCAAGGAAGCCGGUGCCGGUGCCGCCGCAGCGGCGGCCGGCAGAGGCGAGAAGCCGGGAACGUCGGAGGCAGAAUCCGGCGGCGACGUGGGCGGCAAGCUGGUGCAUUUCGACGGGCCGCUGGCGUUCACCGCCGACGAUCUGCUGUGCGCGACGGCGGAGAUUAUGGGGAAGAGCACGUACGGGACGGUGUACAAGGCGACGCUGGAGGACGGCAGCCUGGUAGCCGUGAAGCGGCUGAGGGAGAAGAUCACCAAGGGCCACAAGGAGUUCGAGGCCGAGGCGGCGGCGCUCGGCAAGAUCCGGCAUCCCAACCUGCUGCCUCUCAGGGCAUACUACCUUGGCCCCAAGGGGGAGAAGCUUCUCGUCUUCGACUACAUGCCCAAUGGCAGCCUCUCCGCCUUCUUGCACGCUCGCGCGCCGAACACGCCGGUGGAGUGGGCUACGCGGAUGACGAUCGCCAAGGGCACGGCACGCGGCCUGGCCUACCUCCACGACGACGCGACCAUCGUCCACGGCAACCUCACCGCCAGCAAUGUCCUUCUCGACGACGGGUCCAGCCCCAAGAUCGCCGACAUCGGGCUGUCCCGCCUCAUGACGGCCGCCGCCAACUCCAAUGUACUCGCCGCCGCGGGCGCCCUGGGCUACCGCGCGCCGGAGCUGUCCAAGCUCAAGAAGGCGAACGCCAAGACCGACAUCUACAGCCUCGGCGUCAUCAUCCUCGAGCUCCUCACCGGCAGGUCGCCCGCCGACACGACCAACGGCAUGGACCUGCCGCAGUGGGUGAGCUCCAUUGUGAAGGAAGAAUGGACGAGCGAGGUGUUCGACGUCGAGCUGAUGCGGGACGCGACCACCGGGCCGGACGGGGACGAGCUCAUGGACACGCUCAAGCUAGCGCUGCAGUGCGUCGACCCGUCGCCGUCGGCCCGGCCCGAGGCACGGGAGGUGCUGCGGCAGCUCGAGCAGAUCCGGCCUGGACAGGAGGGACUCGGCGACGAAGCUCACGUGGCUUCUGCGAGCAAUGAGUAG